rnacentral:rRNA from 1 species
UACGUAGGGUGCAAGCGUUGUCCGGAAUUAUUGGGCGUAAAGAGCUCGUAGGCGGUUUGUUGCGUCGGCUGUGAAAUCCCGAGGCUCAACCCCGGGUCUGCAGUCGAUACGAGCAAACUAGAGUGUUGCAGGGGAGACUGGAAUUCCUGGUGUAGCGGUGAAAUGCGCAGAUAUCAGGAGGAACACCGGUGGCGAAGGCGGUCUGCUGGGCAGUAGCUGACACUGAGGCGCGACAGCGUGGGGAGCAAACAGG